AUUGAACGCUGGCGGCAGGCCUAACACAUGCAAGUCGAGCGAGCGGCGGGAGGGUGAGUAUUGUAUUUGGAAUGCCCGAUAGAGGGGGGUAACUACUGGACACGGUAGAGCAUACCGCAUACUAUCGUAGAAACCAAAUGGGAUUAGCUAGUAGGGGAGGUAAUGGCUCACCUAGGCGACACUCCCUAGCUGGUCUGAGAGGAUGAUCAGCCACACUGGGACUGAGACACGGCCCAGACUCCUACGGAGGCAGCAGUGGGGAAUAUUGCACAAUGGGCGCAAGCCUGAUGCAGCCAUGCCGCGUGUAUGAAGAAGGCCCUAGGGUUGUAAAGUACUUUCAGUCGGGAGGCGUUACCGACAGAAGAAGCACCGGCUAACUCCGUGCCAGCAGCCGCGGUAAUUC
rnacentral:rRNA from 1 species